rnacentral:rRNA from 2 species
UGGGGAAUAUUGCACAAUGGGCGCAAGCCUGAUGCAGCGACGCCGCGUGAGGGAUGACGGCCUUCGGGUUGUAAACCUCUUUCAGCACAGACGAAGCGCAAGUGACGGUAUGUGCAGAAGAAGGACCGGCCAACUACGUGCCAGCAGCCGCGGUAAUACGUAGGGUCCGAGCGUUGUCCGGAAUUACUGGGCGUAAAGAGCUCGUAGGUGGUUUGUCGCGUUGUUCGUGAAAACUCACAGCUUAACUGUGGGCGUGCGGGCGAUACGGGCAGACUUGAGUACUGCAGGGGAGACUGGAAUUCCUGGUGUAGCGGUGGAAUGCGCAGAUAUCAGGAGGAACACCGGUGGCGAAGGCGGGUCUCUGGGCAGUAACUGACGCUGAGGAGCGAAAGCGUGGGGAGCGAACAGG